GGCUUCUACUGCUUUGCAAAGCCAUUGCCAAUGGGUUCCACCCUACCACACUCACGAGGUUAGUCCGUUCCGCGCCUUGGAGCAUACUGGAAGCCUCCGAGACUAGGACGUCCUGCUACUCCUCACCACAUGGAUCAAUCCUCUCUACUUGAGAAUGAAAGACCAUUGGAGCGUCAGGAAAACCCCCAAGACUGAGCUACCAUGCAAUCAUUCUGUACAACCCAAAUCACCACCAUGUCUCCUUUUCUUGAGGAUCAUGGAAUUACGUCCACCACCAUGUAUCCCCUCCUUGAGGACCAUGGAAUUACGUCCACCACCAUGUAUCCCCUCCUUGAGGAUCAUGGAAUUACGUC
rnacentral:sRNA from 1 species